rfam:Lepisosteus oculatus linkage group LG6, whole genome shotgun sequence.
CUCAGCCACGGGUAUUCUUGGGUAGAUAAUACGGAUGUCGUUGUUAUUGCUUGAGAAUACGCGUAGCUGGG